rnacentral:rRNA from 1 species
UACGUAGGGGGCUAGCGUUGUCCGGAAUCAUUGGGCGUAAAGAGCGUGUAGGCGGCUUGGUAAGUCCGCUGUGAAAGUCCAGGGCUCAACCCUGGAAUGCCAGUGGAAACUGUCAGGCUAGAGUCCGGAAGAGGCGAGUGGAAUUCCUGGUGUAGCGGUGAAAUGCGCAGAUAUCAGGAGGAACACCAAUGGCGAAGGCAGCUCGCUGGGACGGUACUGACGCUGAGGCGCGAAAGCUAGGGGAGCAAACAGG